CACACCCUACCUUUUCCCUCUUUCCUAUAUUUGGCAAGACUGUUAAAACUCCAGAUGUCCUCAAAGAGCUCUUUGCAUUGGCAAGUAAUCUCUCCGGAGACUUUAACAAUCCUUCUUCCGUCCAGUGAUCCCCAAACCUGGCUGCCCAACAGAUCACAUGAAGAGCAUUAAAAAAAAUCCCAAGUCCAGGUCUUGCCCCAUGUCAAUUAAAUCAGAAUGUCUGGGGGUGGGAGCCAGACACUGGUUUCUGUUUUGGUUUUAAAAAAUCCCAGGUAAUUCUAAACUGCAACAAGAUCUGGGAACCACUGUUCUGUGCCUUGUCCCUCCCCCAACGACCGUGCUGGGCACCAAACCCCAACGCCUCAUGCCAGUGACAUCAACAGCAAGUACGGGCCUGGCUCCUGGAACCCGCGCAGCUCAAGGCUGGAAUUGUGCAAUUAAACCUGAGGCAUGUUUCCCAUGUCAAAUGGGUUUAUGGGGGUAGUCACGAAGCCAGACUCGCUCAUGUUCUGUCUGGAGACUUGGCACACGUGAACCAGGGACAUCAAUCCGGUGUGUGUGAGUGUGUGUGUGUGUGUGUGUGUGUGUGUGUGACAGGUUUAAUAUUUUGGUUGGCCCAAUGUCAAAUUCUUCAAACAGCAAAGAGAAACAUCCAAGAAAGAAACUCCCCGGGUUUUGAGAGGGCAAGUCUGCUGUGAGCCCCAUUUUGAAACACCAUGGUGUGGCCAGGACGGGCUCUGCUUCCGGAGCUUCCGCGCAAGAGUGCCGCGGUCCCCCCUGGAGUGGCCGGACAGCCGCGGCCCGUUCCACCGCGAAGCCCAGGCGCGACCGAAGGGCUGCAGGCGUGGAAGACCCGGACAUCCCCGUGAGAUGGCCAGCGAACCAGAGCCCGUGGCUUUCGGUGGGGGGCGCCCCGGAGGGAGGUCGGGUCCCCAGAGGGACACACCUGGACCGGCUGGACCAGGGCGCGCCAGGCGGGGCGAGCUGCUGGCCGGGGUCUGCACCCAAGGGGCGGGUCGGACCCCACCUGCCUUUUGCCAAGGAGGAAACUAACCGCCGCCAGCACCACCCCUUCCCGGGAGCCGCAGGUGGUGGCGGACGAGUUCUCCCAGCUCCCAGGUGGAGGCUGCGACUCCACUCGCGGGAACGAGGCUCGCGGGGGCUGGGAGAGGGGCCGGGGCCAGGCUGACCCACGCCGGCUUCAGCAGCCAGACUCGCUGGGCAGAGCGCAGCCAGCAAAGCCAGGAGCGCGGCCCCGGCCGUCCCGGAGGGUCGCAUCGCUGCUCCCCGAAGAGCUCGCUCCGGCGCUCCCGGAUCAGUCCUGGACGGAGUCAGGCGGCGGUGCGCGGUGGCUGUGGCGGCGGCGAGGCGGGGACUCGGGCGGACGCCGCCGAGGAAAAAUGUCCUCUAGGUCCAUGUUACAGACCCCUCCUCUCCACAAGGUUCACUAAGACUUUCAGGCCUGAUUCAACAACCCCGAUUUUCCGGCUCUGUCAGGAACCACAAUCCUGAAGACAGCCACUGCGGGUUGAAGUCAGCCCCUGGAUGCAGAGGCUGUGAAGGCUUUGCAGGCACGUGUGUGCUUCCUCCACAUAUGCACACCUGGCCUGAGAGCAGUCCAAAUAGAAACACAGAGAAAACAAAACCAGGGAAUGGCAAACGGGAAGCACAACAGUGGAACAUAAAAUGAAGACAGGAGUGGGUCUUACAAUAAAAGACAUGAAUACUGUGAAGUCCUGUGCAUUCAGUUAACAAGGACCACUGCAUUUUCUGUCAAGGGAAUGUGACUUGUGUGCACAAGUCAUAACACAAAUCAAUUUAAGUUGAGAAAUGUUGAGUAUAUGAUAAAAAUAUAUUGUUUGCUAAGAAGAAUGAUGGCAAGGAAAACCUAGCUGUCCCCCUCAGCCCCCACCAAGUGGAAAAGUGCUUGGGGCAUUCUAAAGCAGCAAGACAGAAUAUGUAAAUCAUACACCGAUUAAAACAAUUCUUUAAACACGGGA